UACGUAGGGUGCGAGCGUUAAUCGGAAUUAUUGGGCGUAAAGCGCGCGCAGGCGGUUUUGUAAGCCGGAUGUGAAAUCCCCGGGCUUAACCUGGGAAUGGCAUUCGGGACUGCAAGGCUGGAGUGCGGCAGAGGAGACUGGAAUUCCUGGUGUAGCAGUGAAAUGCGUAGAUAUCAGGAGGAACACCGAUGGCGAAGGCAGGUCUCUGGGCUGACACUGACGCUCAUGCACGAAAGCGUGGGGAGCAAACAGG
rnacentral:rRNA from 1 species